rnacentral:rRNA from 1 species
CCUGGCUCAGAACGAACGUUAGCGGCGCGCCUAACACAUGCAAGUCGAGCGAGAAAGGGCUUCGGCCCCGGUAAAGCGGCGCACGGGUGAGUAACACGUAGGCAAUCUGCCUCGAGGUGGUGGAUAACCCUCCGAAAGGAGGGCUAAUACAGCAUGAGACCACGUCGUCGAAAGACGAUGCGGCCAAAAGCCGGCCUCUUCAUGAAAGCUGGCGCCACGAGAUGAGCCUGCGGCCCAUCAGCUAGUUGGUAGGGUAACGGCCUACCAAGGCAAAGACGGGUAGCUGGUCUGAGAGGAUGAUCAGCCACACUGGAACUGAGACACGGUCCAGACUCCUACGGGAGGCAGCAGUGGGGAAUCUUGCGCAAUGGGCGAAAGCCUGACGCAGCGACGCCGCGUGGAGCGAUGAAGGCCUCGGUGUAAG